GGGUAUUGCCUCAGUAGCGGCGAGUGAAGCGGCAAGAGCUCAGAUUUGAAAUCGUGCUUUGCGGCACGAGUUGUAGAUUGCAGGUUGGAGUCUGUGUGGAAGGCGGUGUCCAAGUCCCUUGGAACAGGGCGCCCAGGAGGGUGAGAGCCCCGUGGGAUGCCGGCGGAAGCAGUGAGGCCCUUCUGACGAGUCGAGUUGUUUGGGAAUA
rnacentral:rRNA from 1 species